rnacentral:lncRNA from 1 species
ACAUACAAGGGACCAGUUCAGCAGUAUGCAGAGAUAACUCUCCUUGGAUAAUUGGAUGACAGAAGUAACAGUACACGGAAUAAUAUAACAUCUUCACCAGUGAAAAACAGUAGACAAUAACGUUUUAAUUUCAAAAUUAUUUUAUUUUGAAAACUUUGCAACUUUAUUAACAUAUUCUUUUAAUGCAAUAGAUUCAAUACAUUAGUAACCCAUAAUAACGGAG